rnacentral:misc_RNA from 1 species
GAUCUAAAAGUCGUAACAAGGUAACCGUAGGUGAACCUGCGGUUGGAUCAUUACUGAUUUUGGAGUCGAUACCCGACGGCGCAAGCCCGACGGAGUCCUCCAUACACCUCUGUGCACCGUAUUGUUUUUUGGUCUGGUUCUUCGGGGCCAGGCCAGCAGAAAGACACCUUAACUAUUGCCUUAUGAGAUUAUAAAAGAUAACAACUUUUGACAACGGAUCUCUUGGCUCUC